AGUGAACGCUGGCGGUAGGCCUAACACAUGCAAGUCGAACGGCAGCACAGUAAGAGCUUGCUCUUACGGGUGGCGAGUGGCGGACGGGUGAGGAAUACAUCGGAAUCUACUUUUUCGUGGGGGAUAACGUAGGGAAACUUACGCUAAUACCGCAUACGACCUACGGGUGAAAGCAGGGGAUCUUCGGACCUUGCGCGAUUGAAUGAGCCGAUGUCGGAUUAGCUAGUUGGCGGGGUAAAGGCCCACCAAGGCGACGAUCCGUAGCUGGUCUGAGAGGAUGAUCAGCCACACUGGAACUUAGACACGGUCCAGACUCCUACGGGAGGCAGCAGUGGGGACUAUUGGACAAUGGGCGCAAGCCUGAUCCAGCCAUACCGCGUGGGUGAAGAAGGCCUUCGGGUUGUAAAGCCCUUUUGUUGGGAAAGAAAAGCAGCAGGUUAAUACCCCGCUGUUCUGACGGUACCCAAAGAAUAAGCACCGGCUAACUUCGUG
rnacentral:rRNA from 1 species